UUCCUUUUUAGUAAUGCUUAGGAAUCUGCCUAUUAGUGGGGGACAACAUCUCGAAAGGGAUGCUAAUACCGCAUACGUCCUACGGGAGAAAGCAGGGGAUCUUCGGACCUUGCGCUAAUAGAUGAGCCUAAGUCGGAUUAGCUAGUUGGUGGGGUAAAGGCCUACCAAGGCGACGAUCUGUAGCGGGUCUGAGAGGAUGAUCCGCCACACUGGGACUGAGACACGGCCCAGACUCCUACGGGAGGCAGCA
rnacentral:rRNA from 1 species